GACCGCGACCUCAGGUCAGGC
rnacentral:rRNA from 1 species